rnacentral:misc_RNA from 1 species
GGGAGGCUUGCCCACAAUCCAAAAUCUCCUCUUCUCUUAUCCAUCUUUUGGUCAUCUUCUUCCCAUUUCCCAACAAAAGUGAAAACCCCAUCAAUCAUCUGCUAUCAUUCUUCAUUUGGAUGACACGUGGCGACAAUUUGGCCUAUAAGAAAAUCCGAUUAAACGUUAGCAAAACGUCGUCGUUCAUUAUGGGUAUCAUGGUAAAAUGGUGUGGCUUAUAACAGCCAGAGAUGUCAAUCAGUCAGUGGGAUGGAUUGAAAACUAACGAUGGUGGUUGUUUAUUAGGGACAAGAACAGGCCAUUACAGGUUUUAAAGAGAAGAUUGAGAGAGAGAGAGAAGGAGAUGGGAAGAGCUUUUGUGUAUGUGAUUCUAGGAGGAGGGGUGGCAGCUGGGUAUGCAGCUCUUGAAUUCACAAGAAGAGGGGUCUCUCAAGGCGAACUCUGCAUCAUCUCUGAGGAACCUGUGAGCAAGAAAUUAUUUCUAAUCUCUUCUCUGUUAAAGAACUUGCUAUAUUAGCUUCAUUUCAUUAAUGGCUAUCUGUUUCAUUUUGAUGCUUUUAUGAUUGAGUAAUUGUUCCAUUGAUCAGCAGUUCGAAUAUGUUUGUUUUUAAGUUAGAUUUCAAAUAAGACGAAACCAAAACAGGAUGAAUAUUCUGAAAUUAAGACAUUUGGCGUUGCCCUUGAAUCUUUUGUGUGCCUCUCUGGGUUUUUUUUUUUUUUAAUUACUUGGAAAAUUCAAAUUGAUUACAAGUCUUACCUUGCUUGUUACUUCAAGUAAGGGUUACGGUACUUUGAUUCAACUACAGGUUACUUAGAAACUUUUUUUUAUUAUUCAGUUUGAAUAUCUCCUAAUGGAUUAUAAGUCAAUGGGGAAAUUUGUUUGGACCUGUUAUAUUGUCUGCCAUCUGGUACAAAUUGGCCUAUCAGGUUUAGUAAUUUGGAGUAUAAGACUUUGUUGGUAGUUUUGGCCAGUAACCAUAUGUGUCUCACAUCUUGUUAUCACUCUUAAUGAAGGAAAGUAAGUAGGAUUAAUUAUUUGGUCUUGUGGAUGCAAUUAUGUAAUCUUUCUGAGUUAUGGAUGUAUGUCUGGGAGAAACAAGAGAUAUCUGAAUUUCCAUUAAUUUCAACAUUCUUCAUUUUUUUCUGGAUUUCUUUCAGGUUCCUCCAUAUGAGAGACCUGCACUAAGCAAAGGGUAUUUACUUCCAGAAGCUCCAGCACGCCUUCCAUCAUUUCACACUUGUGUUGGAGCUAAUGAGGAAAGAUUGACUCCAAAAUGGUAUAAAGAGCAUGGUAAUUUAUUUUCGCUGUUUCAUUUAUUUUUAGGUCCACUUCAAAUAAGAACUGUAGAAUGCUCCAUUUCUUCUCUGGAGUACUUAUUUUAAUGUGUGAUCAAUAGAUUAUAAUUUUGAAUAUAUAGCUUUCAAAGUGUAUUGGUAAUUACGUGUCUAUGCGUGAAAAACUAAAGGAAAAAAAAGCUUAGAUUGAGUAUAUCAGAAUAAAAUGCUUGUGAAUUUUGGCCUUCUAAUUCAAAGCUUGUGUGGUUGCGCUUUCACCUGCCCUGUUAAUUGGACCCUGAAGCAUUGUUAUGUCAGUUUGAAAUGGUUCAUGAAUUUUGACUUGUACACAGAGGUGGAAAUUGCUCCUUGUGCUUGCAGUUACAUUUGUAAUUCUAGCUUACAAAGAAUUAUAUUACUGUUUGUUGAUCAAAUAUAAACCUCUUAUUCUGCUUCUGCUGUAGAUUAGCAAGUUAAAACACUUGGUUUGUAUCAUUUAGUAUCUCUUUCUGGUCAAUAUUUUUAACAUGAGCAAGUACUUUUGCUAAUGAUCUUCAAGUAAAGACAUACUACUUACAUGUGGCGAUGGAUAAGGAAUUUUUAUAUUUCACCUGGAAUUUAAUAAGUUACUUUGAAAUAAGUGUACAUAUACUUGCUGGGAGUAGGAUUAACAGAUGCUAUUCAACAUCAAUAGUAAGAAAUUUAUAGAAUUUAAUAAGUUACUGCGAAAUAAGUGUACAUAUACUUUCUGGGAGUAGGAUUAACAGAUUUUUUUCAGACAUCAAUAGUAGGGAAUUUAUCAUACCAGUUUACUUGAGUCUUCUAAGUUUCAGCUAGUUGAUUGUUAUAUUUUGUCCUUUUUUUUUUUCCCAUUUGAUCCUUACUCAAUUCUUCUAUUUUUCGUAGGAAUUGAAUUGGUCCUUGGAACUCGAGUCAAGUCUGCUGAUGUGAAGCGCAAGACACUACUGACUGCAGCUGGAGAAACUAUAAGCUACAAGAUUCUUAUCAUUGCAACAGGUGCUCGGGUAUUGAAACUGAUCUUUUAGUUGUUUAAUGCUAUUUUGCUUUAGAUGGUUGGCAUUGUUAACUAUGGGUAAAUGCAUUAUAAAACAUGAAAUAGGCACGUGAAUUUUCUUUUGGAAAAUUACAGGAAUUACUAAAGUCUUUUUUUUUUUCCACUGGAUGGCUGUUAUAAUUUCACAUGGAUAAGCAAAUGAAAUUGGAGCUCAAAAUAUUCUAUUAGAUCUUGUUAUGCACUGAUAGAGUUGCAUGCUUUUUCCUGUGUUUUCACUUCAGCUGUGGUUCUAAAAGUUUCCUUUCUUUCUUUCAAUUGCUAAAAUUAAUGGGGAUCAACUUCUUUUGAUCUUUGCAGAAUUUUAUUGAAAUAAUAAAAAUAUGUAGACACUUAUUUGCAGGCUUUGAAGCUUGAAGAAUUUGGAGUGAGUGGAUCAAAUGCUGAAAAUGUUUGUUAUUUACGAGAUUUAGCAGAUGCAGACAGGCUUGUUAAUGUGAUGCAAUCAUGUGCUGGUGGGAAUGCUGUUGUCAUUGGUGGUGGCUACGUAGGAAUGGAGUGUGCUGCUUCUUUGGUGAUCAAUAAAAUAAAUGUGACUAUGGUUUUCCCUGAAGCACAUUGCAGUGAGCAACCUAAACCUGUUACUGCUUUAUCUUUUGAUGUUUUAAAGAAGUUUUUAUACAACAAAUCUUUCAAAUUAACUAUCUUAUGAUAAUUGAAUUGUAAUAUUUUGUCAUCUAAGAAAUAACUUUUGCACUUGAAAUAUUUUUUCUGAAAAGAUUUCUGACAUUUCAAAUUUGAAGAGAACCAUUAGGUUUCCCCUAAUUUGUUGUUUUAAUUUGACAUGAUAGCAAGCUAACAGUAAUUGUUCAUGGUUUUUCAUUUUGCAGUGGCCCGAUUGUUUACUCCCAAGAUUGCUAGUUAUUAUGAAGAUUACUUCAAUUCUAAAGGAGUAAAAUUCAUCAAGGGAACUAUUAUGUCAUAUUUUGAUAUGGAUUCCAAUGGAAAGGUAAAUGCAAAUCUUGCACUGCUUGACAAUCUUAAAAGAAUGCAGGAAGCUGGAUGAUUAAAUGUAUAUCAGAAGUCUGAAACAUGGGCGUGUAUGAAAUUGAACUUUCUGUAAUGGAAUGGCAUUUAUACCUUCUUCCCAUGGUAAUAGGCCAUGGAAAUGCUGGCUUGUUUUGUCAACUGGUCACUAAUCUACUCGCUUCUACAGGUCACAGCUGUUAAUCUUAGAGAUGGAAGUCGGCUACCUGUAGACAUGGUUGUGGUAGGAAUUGGGAUACGUCCAAACACAAGCCUCUUCGAAGGCCAACUAACCUUGGAGAGGGGUGGGAUCAAAGUGAAUGGGCUAAUGCAGACAAGCAACAGCUCAGUCUAUGCCAUAGGAGAUGUUGCGGCAUUUCCUGUCAAAUUAUUUGGUGAAACUCGUAGGCUUGAGCAUGUUGACUCGGCCCGAAAAUCAGCAAGACAUGUAGUUGCUGCAAUAAUGGAGCCAAAUAAGACAGAUGACUUCGAUUACCUGCCAUUUUUCUAUUCCAGGGUCUUCACAUUGUGUUGGCAGUUUUAUGGGGACAAUGCAGGGGAAGUAGUGCAUUUUGGGGAUUACUCAGGAAGUACAAUUGGGGCUUACUGGAUAAGCAAAGGUCAUCUUGUUGGGUCAUUCCUUGAAGGAGGAAGCAAAGAAGAUUUUGAAGCUAUAGCCAAGGCCACAAGGCUUAAGCUGGCAAUUGACGAUUUGACCGAGCUGGAAAGGCAGGGUUUGGGCUUUGCAUUGGCAGUCAGUAAGAACCCAGUUAGGUCUCCCCCCGGUAAUGUCAGUGCUCCUAGCCUUAUUCUGGAAAGACCAUUGUAUGCUUGGCAUGCAACGGCUGGCGUUAUUGUUGCUGCAUCAGUGGCUGCAUUUGGAUAUUGGUACGGAAGGAGGCGUAGGAGGUGGUGAAGAAAGUUUUUAAUACUUUGGUUGAACUCCUGUGAUAUCUUCUUGUAGCAUUGAUAGGUAUAGUUGAUUUGGCAAGCUACUCACUCAAUACAAAAGUAAAUUAUCUUCAGUUUAUUGCUGUGGCAUAAUUUUAUUUUUCUUCUGCAUGCAUAUCUAUAGAAUACAUUAUUAUGAUUGAUCCAUACCUAUGGGGAAUGAAAUAUCAUCUUCUUCUUCUUCUUUCUCCUUUUCUUUCAUCUUUCUUUCUCUUACCUCUUUAUUUUUCAUGUGAGUUUUAUCCAUUUUAAUAAAAGCUUUAUAACCUCUUUUGUUAGUUCACCUCUAGUUUCUUUAUGCGGUUUUUUGUGCUUGGAAAAAGAAGGCAGGCCAAAUGAGAUAGUGUUUUGGACUGAUCUACUCAACAACCAAUCUACCUCCAUGGUGACCGGUGUUUCUUUGACAUCAAAGUGGCUUAGAUCACUAGUUUGCAGUUGGUCUCAAAAAGCUGAUCCAGCCUAUUUGAAGAUUAACAUAGCUUCUAUAUGCCCCACCUCUCUUUAAGACUCACAAGGAGUCUUCAAUCUGCGUUCCCACCUAAUUUCAGGUGGCUCACUUGUCACUAAGCUAGUUUCUUUUUCUUUUUCAAGCUAUGUAAACAUUGAGUGAAUUAAGAGUGCUAGAAUCUAUUUGUUUGGAAGUUUGAAUAUAGUUAGUUAAAUUUCUAGUCUUAUACUCUCUUUAUUUUAUUUGAAUGAAAUAGAUAAUCCGAUAUAUAUAUAUAUGUCAUGUACUGUUUAAUGCAUCUAUAAGUUACAUUUCAUGUAAGAGACUCUGAAAUAUGAAGCUGAC